rnacentral:tRNA from 1 species
GGUUAUAUAUUCAAUAUAUGAUAUUAAAUUGCAAGUUUAAAGUAGAAUUAGUUCUAUAACUU